GUCUACAUCCAUACCACCCUGCACAUGCCUGAUCUCGUCUGAUCUCGCCUGAUCUCGGAAGCUAAGCAGGGUCGGGCCGGGUUAGUAUUUGGAUGGGAGACUGCCCAGGAAUACCGGGUGCUGGAGGCU
rnacentral:rRNA from 1 species